UAAUAGAGGGAAGAAGAUGAA
rnacentral:miRNA from 1 species